CACGGGGGGAGCAAGCGUUGUUCGGAAUCACUGGGCGUAAAGGGCGUGUAGGCGGUUUGGUAAGUGGGACGUGAAAUCCCUCGGCUCACCCGAGGACCUGCGUCCCAUACUGCCAGGCUAGAGUACGGGAGAGGAUGAAGGAAUUCCUGGUGUAGCGGUGAAAUGCGUAGAUAUCAGGAGGAACACCGGUGGCGAAGGCGUUCAUCUGGCCCGAUACUGACGCUGAGGCGCGAAAGCUAGGGGAGCAAACGGG
rnacentral:rRNA from 1 species